UUGGUAAGUUGGGUAAUCGCUCUGUAUUUAAUAUAGAGAGGAAAGUCCGAACAUCCAUUUUUUGUCAUUAAGACAAAAUCUAAAAAUAUAGUGGGCAACGCCCAUCGGCUAUAAAUUCUAUAAUUUUAUAGAAAAAAGCUAGAGGUGCGAACAGAAACGUUCCAAACCGAAAGGUAAGGAACAUCCAAUCAAUAGAAUGAUUGGAUGAACCUAAGAAGUAAUUCUUAGAAUGAAACGGCUAAACCCUUAUUGGAUGCAAGAACGAAUUAUUUCGGCAUUCUCCGGAUUUGUCGAAAUAGGUGGUUCGCAUGAUUCUAAUAGUAAUAUUAGAACAAGAUAAAUGAUUACACCCAUAAAUUUUAUGAGGACAAAAUUCGGCUUAUAGACUUACCAAGAUA
rnacentral:RNase_P_RNA from 1 species